rnacentral:rRNA from 1 species
GGGUUGUGAGGUUAAGCGACUAAGCGUACACGGUGGAUGCCCUGGCAGUCAGAGGCGAUGAAGGGCGUGCUAAUCUGCGAUAAGCGCCGGUAAGGUGAUAUGAACCGUUAUAACCGGCGAUACCCGAAUGGGGAAACCCAGUGUGAUUCGUCACACUAUCAUUAACUGAAUCCAUAGGUUAAUGAGGCGAACCGGGGGAACUGAAACAUCUAAGUACCCCGAGGAAAAGAAAUCAACCGAGAUUCCCCCAGUAGCGGCGAGCGAACGGGGAGGAGCCCAGAGCCUGAAUCAGCAUGUGUGUUAGUGGAAGCGUCUGGAAAGGCGCGCGAUACAGGGUGACAGCCCCGUACACAAAAGCGCAUGUGCUGUGAGCUCGAUGAGUAGGGCGGGACACGUGGUAUCCUGUCUGAAUAUGGGGGGACCAUCCUCCAAGGCUAAAUACUCCUGACUGACCGAUAGUGAACCAGUACCGUGAGGGAAAGGCGAAAAGAACCCCGGCGAGGGGAGUGAAAAAGAACCUGAAACCGUGUACGUACAAGCAGUGGGAGCACAGGUUUACCUGUGUGACUGCGUACCUUUUGUAUAAUGGGUCAGCGACUUAUAUUCUGUAGCAAGGUUAACCGAAUAGGGGAGCCGGAGGGAAACCGAGUCUUAACCGGGCGUUAAGUUGCAGGGUAUAGACCCGAAACCCGGUGAUCUAGCCAUGGGCAGGUUGAAGGUUGGGUAACACUAACUGGAGGACCGAACCGACUAAUGUUGAAAAAUUAGCGGAUGACCUGUGGCUGGGGGUGAAAGGCCAAUCAAACCGGGAGAUAGCUGGUUCUCCCCGAAAGCUAUUUAGGUAGCGCCUCGUGAAUUCAUCUCCGGGGGUAGAGCACUGUUUCGGCUAGGGGGCCAUCCCGGCUUACCAACCCGAUGCAAACUGCGAAUACCGGAGAAUGUUAUCACGGGAGACACACGGCGGGUGCUAACGUCCGUCGUGAAGAGGGAAACAACCCAGACCGCCAGCUAAGGUCCCAAAGUCAUGGUUAAGUGGGAAACGAUGUGGGAAGGCCCAGACAGCCAGGAUGUUGGCUUAGAAGCAGCCAUCAUUUAAAGAAAGCGUAAUAGCUCACUGGUCGAGUCGGCCUGCGCGGAAGAUGUAACGGGGCUAAACCAUGCACCGAAGCUGCGGCAGCGACACUGUGUGUUGUUGGGUAGGGGAGCGUUCUGUAAGCCUGCGAAGGUGGCCUGUGAGGGUUGCUGGAGGUAUCAGAAGUGCGAAUGCUGACAUAAGUAACGAUAAAGCGGGUGAAAAGCCCGCUCGCCGGAAGACCAAGGGUUCCUGUCCAACGUUAAUCGGGGCAGGGUGAGUCGACCCCUAAGGCGAGGCCGAAAGGCGUAGUCGAUGGGAAACGGGUUAAUAUUCCCGUACUUGGUGUUACUGCGAAGGGGGGACGGAGAAGGCUAUGUUGGCCGGGCGACGGUUGUCCCGGUUUAAGCGUGUAGGUGUGUGUUCCAGGUAAAUCCGGUUCACUUUAACACUGAGGCGUGAUGACGAGGCACUACGGUGCUGAAGCAACAAAUGCCCUGCUUCCAGGAAAAGCCUCUAAGCAUCAGGUAACAUCAAAUCGUACCCCAAACCGACACAGGUGGUCAGGUAGAGAAUACCAAGGCGCUUGAGAGAACUCGGGUGAAGGAACUAGGCAAAAUGGUGCCGUAACUUCGGGAGAAGGCACGCUGACACGUAGGUGAAGUGAUUUACUCAUGGAGCUGAAGUCAGUCGAAGAUACCAGCUGGCUGCAACUGUUUAUUAAAAACACAGCACUGUGCAAACACGAAAGUGGACGUAUACGGUGUGACGCCUGCCCGGUGCCGGAAGGUUAAUUGAUGGGGUCAGCGCAAGCGAAGCUCCUGAUCGAAGCCCCGGUAAACGGCGGCCGUAACUAUAACGGUCCUAAGGUAGCGAAAUUCCUUGUCGGGUAAGUUCCGACCUGCACGAAUGGCGUAAUGAUGGCCAGGCUGUCUCCACCCGAGACUCAGUGAAAUUGAACUCGCUGUGAAGAUGCAGUGUACCCGCGGCAAGACGGAAAGACCCCGUGAACCUUUACUAUAGCUUGACACUGAACAUUGAGCCUUGAUGUGUAGGAUAGGUGGGAGGCUUUGAAGCGUGGACGCCAGUCUGCGUGGAGCCGACCUUGAAAUACCACCCUUUAAUGUUUGAUGUUCUAACGUGGACCCGUGAUCCGGGUUGCGGACAGUGUCUGGUGGGUAGUUUGACUGGGGCGGUCUCCUCCUAAAGAGUAACGGAGGAGCACGAAGGUUGGCUAAUCCUGGUCGGACAUCAGGAGGUUAGUGCAAUGGCAUAAGCCAGCUUGACUGCGAGCGUGACGGCGCGAGCAGGUGCGAAAGCAGGUCAUAGUGAUCCGGUGGUUCUGAAUGGAAGGGCCAUCGCUCAACGGAUAAAAGGUACUCCGGGGAUAACAGGCUGAUACCGCCCAAGAGUUCAUAUCGACGGCGGUGUUUGGCACCUCGAUGUCGGCUCAUCACAUCCUGGGGCUGAAGUAGGUCCCAAGGGUAUGGCUGUUCGCCAUUUAAAGUGGUACGCGAGCUGGGUUUAGAACGUCGUGAGACAGUUCGGUCCCUAUCUGCCGUGGGCGCUGGAGAACUGAGGGGGGCUGCUCCUAGUACGAGAGGACCGGAGUGGACGCAUCACUGGUGUUCGGGUUGUCAUGCCAAUGGCACUGCCCGGUAGCUAAAUGCGGAAGAGAUAAGUGCUGAAAGCAUCUAAGCACGAAACUUGCCCCGAGAUGAGUUCUCCCUGAGACUUUAAGUCUCCUGAAGGAACGUUGAAGACGACGACGUUGAUAGGCCGGGUGUGUAAGCGCAGCGAUGCGUUGAGCUAACCGGUACUAAUGAACCGUGAGGCUUAACCUUACAACGCCGAAG